rnacentral:rRNA from 1 species
UUGAACGCUGGCGGCAGGCCUAACACAUGCAAGUCGAACGGUAACAGGAAACAGCUUGCUGUUUCGCUGACGAGUGGCGGACGGGUGAGUAAUGUCUGGGAAACUGCCUGAUGGAGGGGGAUAACUACUGGAAACGGUAGCUAAUACCGCAUAACGUCGCAAGACCAAAGAGGGGGACCUUCGGGCCUCUUGCCAUCGGAUGUGCCCAGAUGGGAUUAGCUAGUAGGUGGGGUAACGGCUCACCUAGGCGACGAUCCCUAGCUGGUCUGAGAGGAUGACCAGCCACACUGGAACUGAGACACGGUCCAGACUCCUACGGGAGGCAGCAGUGGGGAAUAUUGCACAAUGGGCGCAAGCCUGAUGCAGCCAUGCCGCGUGUAUGAAGAAGGCCUUCGGGUUGUAAAGUACUUUCAGCGGGGAGGAAGGGAGUAAAGUUAAUACCUUUGCUCAUUGACGUUACCCGCAGAAGAAGCACCGGCUAACUCCGUGCCAGCAGCCGCGGUAAUACGGAGGGUGCAAGCGUUAAUCGGAAUUACUGGGCGUAAAGCGCACGCAGGCGGUUUGUUAAGUCAGAUGUGAAAUCCCCGGGCUCAACCUGGGAACUGCAUCUGAUACUGGCAAGCUUGAGUCUCGUAGAGGGGGGUAGAAUUCCAGGUGUAGCGGUGAAAUGCGUAGAGAUCUGGAGGAAUACCGGUGGCGAAGGCGGCCCCCUGGACGAAGACUGACGCUCAGGUGCGAAAGCGUGGGGAGCAAACAGGAUUAGAUACCCUGGUAGUCCACGCCGUAAACGAUGUCGACUUGGAGGUUGUGCCCUUGAGGCGUGGCUUCCGGAGCUAACGCGUUAAGUCGACCGCCUGGGGAGUACGGCCGCAAGGUUAAAACUCAAAUGAAUUGACGGGGGCCCGCACAAGCGGUGGAGCAUGUGGUUUAAUUCGAUGCAACGCGAAGAACCUUACCUGGUCUUGACAUCCACGGAAGUUUUCAGAGAUGAGAAUGUGCCUUCGGGAACCGUGAGACAGGUGCUGCAUGGCUGUCGUCAGCUCGUGUUGUGAAAUGUUGGGUUAAGUCCCGCAACGAGCGCAACCCUUAUCCUUUGUUGCCAGCGGUCCGGCCGGGAACUCAAAGGAGACUGCCAGUGAUAAACUGGAGGAAGGUGGGGAUGACGUUAAGUCAUCAUGGCCCUUACGACCAGGGCUACACACGUGCUACAAUGGCGCAUACAAAGAGAAGCGACCUCGCGAGAGCAAGCGGACCUCAUAAAGUGCGUCGUAGUCCGGAUUGGAGUCUGCAACUCGACUCCAUGAAGUCGGAAUCGCUAGUAAUCGUGGAUCAGAAUGCCACGGUGAAUACGUUCCCGGGCCUUGUACACACCGCCCGUCACACCAUGGGAGUGGGUUGCAAAAGAAGUAGGUAGCUUAACCUUCGGGAGGGCGCUUACCACUUUGUGAUUCAUGACUGGGGUG